GGAGAGGUACGAAAGUGGUUUAAUCGGACGGUCUCGAAAACCGUUGUCCGCUUUGCGGACCGUGGGUUCGAAUCCCACCCUCUCCG
rnacentral:tRNA from 1 species